rnacentral:rRNA from 1 species
CCUACGGGAGGCAGCAGUUAGGAAUAUUGGGCAAUGGAGGAAACUCUGACCCAGCAACGCCGCGUGAAGGAAGAAGGUUUUCGGAUUGUAAACUUCUGAUCUGUGGGACGAAGAAAGUGACGGUACCACAGGAGAAAGCCACGGCUAACUACGUGCCAGCAGCCGCGGUAAUACGUAGGGGGCAAGCGUUAUCCGGAUUUACUGGGUGUAAAGGGAGCGUAGACGGCGAUGCAAGUCUGAAGUGAAAGGCGGGGGCCCAACCCCCGGACUGCUUUGGAAACUGUAUGGCUGGAGUGCAGGAGAGGUAAGUGGAAUUCCUAGUGUAGCGGUGAAAUGCGUAGAUAUUAGGAGGAACACCAGUGGCGAAGGCGGCUUACUGGACUGUAACUGACGUUGAGGCUCGAAAGCGUGGGGAGCAAACAGGAUUAGAUACCCGAGUAGUC